ensembl:lncRNA
GUGAUAAAAUGCUGUUUUUGUAACCGAUUUGAUGUGGCUGCUGAACUCGAAAUCUGAAUCCAUGAUGCCCCCUAGUUUUCUGGCUUUCAUUGAGGUUUUCAGGAACAGAAAGUGAAGGUGUUGGGUUACUUUAAGCCUUUCCGUUUUAGCACCAAAUACAACACUAUGAGUUUGUUCCAGGUUGUCAGCAUUGUGGUUUCCUAAAUGCAGCGAUCAACAAAUUUAUUUAAAACAUGUCAACUAAACACUGGAAGCCCCAAAUAUGGUCAUAACGGCACUGCACAUUUGAGUUACAAAGUCCUAUUUUGUACCAAAUGUGUCCUAAAAAUAUAGAUAAAUUAACCUUUAUAUAAAUACUGGCUAUAGGCAGUAGUAUGCACGCUAUAUCUUCAAGCAACGUAUGUACUUUAUAGACUUGUUCUGAGGGCGCCUGGCCAUUUUAAUCAGUUCGAAAGUAGAGAAUGUCCUCAGCUGAACACUGCAGCUAAUCAGACUGCUGAUCGAUAGCAAAUCAAUGCGGCUGCGACCCGAUCUCUGAGGGCUGGUCCUCCACGGCGCCUCGCGACCUCCUUCUUAACGCCACCCGUCUGAACUCCGUCUCCAACCCCACCUUCAGGACCAGGCUGUGUCUCUUUUUCAGAUCGAACAUGUCGGGGGAGGAUACAGUCACGUGCUCCGGACGUUUCUCUAAUCUAUACACAUGUGGAGUGGACACCAAACAUGUGGGGGAGGUUGAAGGUCCGUCGCAGCAGCUGUCUGCGGAUGGUGCUAAUGAUGUUAAUAACGCUGAUCAAGUGGCGCCAAUCCUCAUUAAAAUCUGCGCCCUCGUUUACAGGCGUCUCGACGGGACGUCAGUCGUGAGUAUCGAUUCACCAGGAUAAGCGACCAUCAUCUUCCUCCCUCAGCCUCUUAUCUUCACGAAGCUCUGGUCGCUCAACAAAGCGAGGCAGAGGCAGACCACUGUUUCGGUCAUUCACGCAAGAACACUGUUGUAGAGUGGUAUGAGAAGUAGAAAACCCCAAUUUAUUUUGGGAAGUAAAGGAGAUUCCUACUCAUUCCUUCCUUCCCUAACCCUAAUCUCCUUAUAGAAGUCUACACUUGCUUUCAACAAAGACUUUGUUAUUGUGUUCUUAAACAGUUUGUGCAUGUUAUUGGGGGGAUGGGGAAGUCAUGACAAGUUUAAUCAUUUUUGGUUAUGCUUACUGUCAUUGAAAAGUUUUAUUUUUUCAUGGUACAAUGUUUCAUCUGGAGAUCUGGAAAUAUCUGUUUAAUUGAAUGGGUUCGUUCAAUUUAAAGGGGGAGGAAUGUUGUAGAGUGGUAUACUGACUUCUGACCACUAGAGGCAGUAGUGCUAUUGCUCUCUACAAGAAGCUACCGCUUAUUAUCCUGUGGCUGAGCACACCUGUUGAUGUAGGAUUGCUAUGCUGUGAGUGCUAGGUUCCGUGGGGGACAAUAAACAUGUGAAGAGUAACGUCUGUGUCUGGCUAGUUUAUCCCAUUAUACCCAAUAUACUACAAACAAUGAUUCCGUUGGUUUAUUAUUUUAUUGUCGGCCACCAUAAGGCAAGCAUUAUGCUAAAACAGUCAAGCACACCUUCAUCUUAAUCUUAAUCCACCCAUUCCUCCUUUAUUUAUUUUCAGGUGUUUAAAUUGUGUAAGAAGGCUUUUGUGAAUGAAAGGUGUUUUCAUGAGAUGGGUUU